rnacentral:rRNA from 1 species
GGCGAGUGAAGCGGCAACAGCUCAAAUUUGAAAUCUGGCGUCUUUGGCGUCCGAGUUGUAAUUUGCAGAGGGCGCUUUGGCAUUGGCAGCGGUCCAAGUUCCUUGGAACAGGACGUCACAGAGGGUGAGAAUCCCGUACGUGGUCGCUAGCCUUUACCGUGUAAAGCCCCUUCGACGAGUCGAGUUGUUUGGGAAUGCAGCUCUAAAUGGGAGGUAAAUUUCUUCUAAAGCUAAAUACUGGCCAGAGACCGAUAGCGCACAAGUAGAGUGAUCGAAAGAUGAAAAGCACUUUGGAAAGAGAGUUAAAAAGCACGUGAAAUUGUUGAAAGGGAAGCGCUUGCAGCCAGACUUGCCUGUAGUUGCUCAUCCGGGUUUUUACCCGGUGCACUCUUCUAUAGGCAGGCCAGCAUCAGUUUGGGCGGUUGGAUAAAGAUCUCUGUCAUGUACCUCCUUUCGGGGAGAACUUAUAGGGGAGAUGACAUGCAACCAGCCUGGACUGAGGUCCGCGCAUCUGCUAGGAUGCUGGCGUAAUGGCUGUAAGCGGCCCGUCUUGAAACACGGACCAAGGAGUCUAACAUCUAUGCGAGUGUUUGGGUGUCAAGCCCGAGCGCGUAAUGAAAGUGAACGGAGGUGGGAGCCUUUCGGGGUGCACCAUCGACCGAUCCUGAUGUCUUCGGAUGGAUUUGAGUAAGAGCAUAGCUGUUGGGACCCGAAAGAUGGUGAACUAUGCUUGAAUAGGGUGAAGCCAGAGGAAACUCUGGUGGAGGCUCGCAGCGGUUCUGACGUGCAAAUCGAUCGUCAAAUUUGGGCAUAGGGGCGAAAGACUAAUCGAACUAUCUAGUAGCUGGUUCCUGCCGAAGUUUCCCUCAGGAUAGCAGUAACGUUUUCAGUUUUAUGAGGUAAAGCGAAUGAUUAGAGGCCUGGGGGUUGAAACAACCUUCACCUAUUCUCAAACUUUAAAUAUGUAAGA